UACAGAGGUGGCAAGCGUUGUUCGGAAUUACUGGGCGUAAAGGGCGCGUAGGCGGUUCGUUAAGUCCUGUGUGAAAUCCCCCGGCUCAACUGGGGAACUGCACAGGAAACUAGCGGGCUUGAGUUCGGGAGAGGGAAGCGGAAUUCCGGGUGUAGCGGUGAAAUGCGUAGAUAUCUGGAGGAAUACCGGUGGCGAAGGCGGCAUCCUGGACCGGCAUUGACGCUGAGGAGCGAAAGCCAGGGGAGCAAACGGG
rnacentral:rRNA from 1 species